AUGACACAGUGCUGCAAUGGAGGGAGAAACAGGGGGCUGUGGGAGCACAUUAGCAGGUUUGCCUGAGUCUGCGCUGGGAGGGGAAUUCUCCAAAGAAAAGUGUAAUGGGGAGGUACGUUUGAGCUUGUUCUUUGAGAGCAUCUAGGAACUUAUCAGACGGAAGAAGUCAUUCCAGGAAGACAGAAAGGACUGUGUGGUGGCUAAGAAUCUAGAAAAACCUGCUAUGUUUGCGUAACAGUAAAAUGGUUGAUUAUGAGGUUGAGAGUUUGGUGGCUUUAAAUUAGUGGAAGAAGAAAUGGACCCCAGGACCAAGGGUGGUAUGCAGAGAUCAUAUUUGGCCAAGUAGCUUAUUUGAGACAGAUUUUCUGGGAAGAAUUUUCAGCAGGGAAGCUAUGAAUGGAAAGGAGACUUUGGGGCCCAUAGGCCUCUCCUGCACUCCGUGUGAUCUCAAAGGCCACAAAGGGCCGCCCA